UCCAGAAAAACGCAUGUCAAAAAUGUUAUAAAAUGAUUUGCAUUUUAAUGAGGGAAAUAAGUAUUUGACCCCUCUGCAAAACAUGACUUAGUACUUGGUGGCAAAACCCUUGUUGGCAAUCACAGAGGUCAGACGUUUCUUGUAGUUGACCACCAGGUUUGCACACAUCUCAGGAGGGAUUUUGUCCCACUCCUCUUUGCAGAUCUUCUCCAAGUCAUUAUGGCUGAGGCUGACGUUUGGCAACUCGAACGUUCAGCUCCCUCCACAGAUUUUCUAUGGGAUUAAGGUCUGGAGACUGGCUAGGCCACUCCAGGACCUUAAUGUGCUUCUUCUUGAGCCACUCCUUUGUUGCCUUGGCCGUGUGUUUUGGGUCAUUGUCAUGCUGGAAUGCCCAUCCACUACCCAUUUUUAAUGCCCUGGCUGAGGGAAGGAGGUUCUCACCCAAGAUUUGACAGUACAUGGCCCCGUCUAUCGUCCCUUUGAUGCGUUGAAGUUGUCCUGUCCCUUUAGCUGAAAAACACCCCCGAAGCAUAAUGCUUCCACCUCCAUGUUUGACGGUGGAGAUGGUGUUCUUGGGGUCAUAGGCAGCAUUCCUCCUCCUCCAAACACGGCGAGUUGAGUUGAUGCGAAAGAGCUCCAUUUUGGUCUCAUCUGACCACAACACUUUCACACAGUUGUCCUCUGAGUCAUUCAGAUGUUCAUUAGCAAACUUCAGACGGGCAUGUAUAUGUAUUUUUGAGCAGGGGGACCUUGCGGGCGCUGCAGGAUUUCAGUCCUUCACGGCGUAGUGUGUUACCAAUUGUUUUCUUGGUGACUAUGGUCCCAGCUGCCUUGAGAUCAUUGACAAGAUCUUCCCGUGUAGUUCUGGGCUGAUUCCUCACCGUUCUCAUGAUCAUUGCAACUCCACGAGGUGAGACCUUGCAUGGAGCCCCAGGCCGAGGGAUAUUGACAGUUCUUUUGUGUUUCUUCAAUCUGCGAAUAAUCGCACCAAAUGUUGUCACCUUCUCACCAAGCUGCUUGGCGAUGGUCUUGUAGCCCAUUCCAGCCUUGUGUAGGUCUAUAAUCUUGUCCCUGACAUCCUUGGAGAGCUCUUUGGUCUUGGCCAUGGUGGAGAGUUUGGAAUCUGAUUGAUUGAUUGCUUCUGUGGACAGGUGUCUUUUUUACAGGUGACAAGCUGCGGUUAGGAGCACUCCCUUUAAGAGUGUGCUCUAAUCUCAGCUCGUUACCUGUAUAAAAGACACCUGGGAGCCAGAAAUCUUUCUGAUUGAGAGGGG
rnacentral:lncRNA from 1 species